UCAAUGACAUUUUCUGGCCAAUAAACGCGCUGUAUUGGCUGGCUGCUCCGCCUUCUGGCCAGUAAACUGCAUAUUUUUGCAUAAAAAAAUGAGGACAUGUUGCACCGCUGAGUGGCCCUUCUAUAUGGAUCUUUAUUCUAUGCCGAAACUCUCCUGCCUUUCUCUUCUGUACGUUCUACCAACACCCCCCCCCCCCCCCUUAUUGCUACUUCAUCAUCAACCUCGUUAAGCGCAGAAGUCCUGGGUACAAGGUUGCAUCGCCAUAGUAAGACGUAAAAAAUUUAACUAGAAAUACAUGUAUGCAGCAACCCUCGCCAUUUUCAAAACACUGAUUUAACAUAAAGUAUUCGUUAUUGGCCAAUACUGAGCGCAUGCUCGCGUUGUGG